UCGCGGCUUAUCACCGGCAGUCCCCCUAGAGUGCCCAACUAAAUGAUGGCAACUAAGGGCGAGGGUUGCGCUCGUUGCGGGACUUAACCCAACAUCUCACGACACGAGCUGACGACAGCCAUGCAGCACCUGUCUCCGGUCCAGCCGAACUGAAGGGAUCGAUCUCUCGUUCCCGCGACCGGGAUGUCAAAGGCUGGUAAGGUUCUUCGCGUUGCUUCGAAUUGAACCACAUGCUCCACCGCUUGUGCGGGCCCCCGUCAAUUCCUUUGAGUUUCACCCUUGCGAGCGUACUCCCCAGGCGGUAUACUUAAUGCGUUAGCUCCGGUACAGAAAGGGUUGAGCCUCCCUACACCUAGUUCUCAUCGUUUACGGCGUGGACUAC
rnacentral:misc_RNA from 1 species